GAUGAAGAACGUAGCGAAAUGCGAUAAGUAGUGUGAAUUGCAGAAUUCAGUGAAUCAUCGAAUCUUUGAACGCACAUUGCGCCCUUUGGUAUUCCUUAGGGCAUGCCUGUUCGAGCGUCAUUUAAACCUUCAAGUUAAGCUUGGUGUUGGGUGACUGUCCGCUUCACGGCGGACUCGCCUCAAAAUUAUUGGCGGCCGGUACAUUGGCUUCGAGCGCAGCAGAAACGCGAACUCGGGCCCGUCGUAUUGGCUCCCAGAAGCUAUCUUCACAAUUUUGACCUCGGAUCAGGUAGGGAUACCCGCUGAACUUAAGCAUAUCAAUAAGCGGAGGA
rnacentral:misc_RNA from 1 species